CUCUUCUUGUGGCAUCUGAGGGUUUCCAUGACAAGAGACUUUCCUUGUUUUUGUACGUUUCUUCCGUCAGUUCAGUUUCUUCUCUUUUGCUGGGACUCGGACGCUUCUCGUGACCUUCACCUUUGGAUUCUCAGCUUAAUCACAGCUUUUGGGUCUUAUAUUCUUGGCAGAUUGCUCAUUUCUAUCUUCUAUUGAAUGUCGAUGAACUCUGAAGGGUUAGAAGUUUCAUUUUCGUGAACUUUGUUGUGAAAUUUCUUUCCCUUUUGCUUCUUUGGGUUUACGAACUGGGUUCCCGUCUUGGCUUAUGAAUUCUUUCUGUGGGCUGAGAACAUUGGCGUGGGAUAUUAGAGAUGAUAUUUGAGGGAAGAUUUACGAGAGAUUUUUGGGCUUCUUUUAAUUAAAGAUCUAGAGACUUAAUAUAUUAGAUGAGAUUGAGAAGCUACUGAUUCAAUGAGGAGAAUUUGAAAUGUAUUAAAACUAGAAUUUCAAGUUUGAUGGCUUUAUUGUUCUGAUCUGAAUCGUCGUUCCAAAGAACCAAUGGAAGGAAAUAUGUCACAAGGAGGUAUAGUUCCGGCAGGGGCUUCUUCUUUUGGGGGUUUUGAUAUUCCAACAUUUUCUCAUCAAUCACAGCAUCCCCAAUCAAGUCAUCACCAUCAAACUCAUCCACACCAAGGGCAUUCGCCUAUUCAUGAAGGCUUUCCGCUGUCAAUGGGAACCUUACAUAGCUGUGAUCAAACCAUUUCAUUGACAGAUUUUAACAGGGGAGAUAGAAGUAAAGGCUCAGCAAGUGAGGAGGACGAGCGAAGCUUUAUUGAAGAUGGAAGAGGAAAAAAGGGCUCACCUUGGCACCGUGUUAAGUGGACUGAUAAUAUGGUGAAGCUACUGAUUACAGCUGUUUCAUAUUUAAGCGAGGACGUAAGUAGUGAUUUUGGUGGCGGAGGAAGAAGAAAAUUUGCAGUCCUACAGAAAAAGGGCAAGUGGAAAUGUAUCUCCAAGGUCAUGGCUGAAAGAGGUUUUCAUGUUUCUCCUCAGCAGUGUGAGGAUAAAUUUAAUGAUCUUAAUAAGAGGUAUAAAAAGCUUAAUGAUAUGCUUGGGAGGGGAACUUCUUGUCAGGUUGUUGAGAACCCUGCACUUUUGGAUGAAAUAGAUUUUCUUUCUGAGAAAGAAAAGGAUGAUGUUCGGAAAAUAUUAAGCUCGAAACAGCUCUUCUAUGAAGAGAUGUGUUCAUAUCAUAAUUGUAAUAGAUUGGCUUUACCCCAUGAUCCAGCAUUGCGGUGCUCACUGCAACUGGCUCUUAAAAAUAGAGAUGACCAUGAUAAUGAUGAUGUCAGAAGCUCCUACCAUGAUGAUAAUGAUGAAGAUGAUCUGGAUUUGGAAAAUGAUGAUGACGACGACUUUCAUGAGGAUUAUGCUUGUCAUGGAGGUAACAGAGGGACACAUGGGACAUUGGGGGGAUCUAUGAAGAAAUUGAAACAGAGCCAAGAAGAUCUUAUGUUUGUGAAUCCCUCCAAUUCUAGGGCCUACAAUAAAAGUUCUUAUCCACAUGGAAUGAUGGUCCAAUCUGAUGUGAAUCAAGGUUUACCUGAAAGCAAGAAAGCCACAUGGUUACAAGAGCAAUGGAUUGAAUCUCGAUCAAUUCAAUUAGAAGAACAGAAGAUGCAACUUCAGGUUGAGUUGUUGGAACUAGAGAAACAGAGAUUGAAGUGGCAGAGGUUUUGUAAGAAAAAAGACCGAGAUUUGGAAAAAAUGAGAAUGGAAAAUGAGAGGAUGAAGCUUGAAAAUGAACGUAUGGCUUUGGAGUUGAAGCGAAAGAAAAUGGAAAGUGGCUUUAACUAGGUUGGCUAUCUUGCAACUUGUCAUUGCAUGACUUGCUUGAUGCUCCAAUUUAUUUUUAAUUUUUUUCCCUUAUCUUUGAUACGUGUUGAUGUACAAUGGAUUUCUACCUAUGUCGAUGUGUUGAUAGAAUACAACUCAAGUUGAACUUGAAGGCUUGUUUCACAUACUGUCAUGCUGGAUAAAACUUAGAUGAUGUGUUUGUAUACACUUUAGCGCAUAUUCUUUCAUAUGAAUUCUUAAUUGGCAGAGUUUUUUUUUUCCUUCAUAUUUCCGUGUAACUUUGGAUAUUUAAUUUUUAGUUCAGGGAUAUAGUUUAGAAGGUGGUUUAUGGAUCUGUUGAACUCAGUGAGAACAUUUGCACAGAUUUGUUACUCUGGGCUUCUUGUAAUGAUUUCUUUGUUCAAGUCAUCACUUGCUUUAUUUCUAUUUUUAUUUA